rnacentral:rRNA from 1 species
UACAGAGGGGGCAAGCGUUGUUCGGAAUUACUGGGCGUAAAGGGCGCGUAGGCGGCCUGUUAAGUCGAACGUGAAAUCCCCGGGCUCAACCCGGGAACUGCGUCCGAUACUGGCAGGCUUGAAUCCGGGAGAGGGAUGCGGAAUUCCAGGUGUAGCGGUGAAAUGCGUAGAUAUCUGGAGGAACACCGGUGGCGAAGGCGGCGAUCUGGGUCGAUACUGACGCUGAGGUGCGAAAGCGUGGGGAGCAAACAGG